rnacentral:rRNA from 1 species
CAAUAGCGUAUAUUUAAGUUGUUGCAGUUAAAAAGCUCGUAGUUGGAUUUCUGGAGGGAGCGUCGGCCCGUAUUUACGAGUGCGUGACGUCUCUGUCCAUCCUUGCGGGAAGGCACGGCAUUGAUUUGUUGUGUCGGAUCGCAUCAUUUACUGUGAAAAAAUUAGAGUGUUCAAAGCAGGCUUUCGCUUGAAUACAUUAGCAUGGAAUAAUAAGAUAGGACUUUGGUGCUAUUUUGUUGGUUGAGCCUAAAGUAAUGAUUAAUAGGGAUAGUUGGGGGCACCUGUAUUGCGUUGUCAGAGGUGAAAUUCUUGGAUUUACGCAAGACAAACAGCUGCGAANGNGUCUGCNAAGGAUGUUUNCAUUA